rnacentral:rRNA from 1 species
ACGUAGGUGGCAAGCGUUGUUCGGAAUUAUUGGGCGUAAAGGGCGCGUAGGCGGCUUGGCAAGUGGAUGGUGAAAUCCCUCGGCUUAACCGAGGAACUGCCGUCCAAACUGCUUCGCUUGAGACCGGGAGAGGUGAGUGGAAUUCCCAGUGUAGCGGUGAAAUGCGUAGAUAUUGGGAGGAACACCAGUGGCGAAGGCGGCUCACUGGACCGGUACUGACGCUGAUGCGCGAAAGCGUGGGGAGCAAACGGGA